GAAUUUAUUGAAGUAAUUGAUUGAAUUAACUAUAGAAAUUAAUGAAAAUGAAUUAAUAAUCAAUUUUAAAUCCAUUUACAAUGGUAAGAGGUAUAAAUAAAAGAUCAUAUUUAACAGUCUAUUUUCAUAAGUGAUAUUUCAAAUUAAAGGCCUGCUUUCGUACUGGUGAGAGAGGAUCUUACAUCCAGGGACAUCACCAGAAAUCCACAUCCCAGCACGCAAAGAGGGGGGGAAUACUGAUAGUACAGGGUCCGACACGCAGACCAUAGUACUAAAAGACGUAUCCCAAAGUAUCUAAUACGCAGAGGAGGGGGGAGUACUGCUGAUACAGUAUCCUGAACACGGUCACAACCUACCAGCAACUAGAAGUCCGGAUAGCCUAAGAUGAGUUGAGGUAUCUAUUCUAGGGUUGGGGAGGUCCCAGGUCGAAUCCU
rnacentral:lncRNA from 1 species